AAAUGCUGGAGCUGCUGAAUCGUAUACAAGCAGCAGGAAACAAGUCAAGAGCUGGCAAUCAACUGCUAGAGAUGCUGAAUACCAACAAACCAUCCACGACCAACUUUGUGGGUAACAUACCAAACCUUGAAGAAAUUCCAGGACCUGCGUUCGGGGAGGAUGAUUGGGACGGGAGCUGAGAGUGAGGGACUAUACUGUCUCAACAUGCCUAAGGAAGGAACGUGCAAUGCGGUGAGAAGCAAAACCGACGACCUAUGGCAUUGGAGGCUAGGGCAUCCGUCAAGCAAAGUAUCUUCAUUUUUCCCUUUCUUGCAAAAUAAGUCAUGUGACACCAGCCAUUGUUCUAUCUGUCCUUUGGCCAAGCAGACUCGAAAGCCAUUUCCUUUAAGUACUUCUUUGAGUAAUUGUUGUUUUGAAUUAAUUCAUGUUGACAUAUGGGGAGGAUACCAUGUUCCAUC